GAGAGGCUGAACAAUCACAAGUGUGUAAAUGAAUAAAUGACCUGGUGAUCACGAGCUCCCAGAGUCUCUUCCUGGAUACAAGGUCUUAACUGUGAAUGUCAUUUGCAAGAGCUGCUGGUGACUAAAAAUCAACUAGAAAAUUGCUUUCUUCCUGAUAUGGGUCUCCAGCCUGAAGCAUCGAGAUUUUCCACUGGCAUCUCGGAAUGUUCUCUCAUCUGAAACCUUAAACUUUUAACAGCUGAGCCAUCUCCCCAGCCUGCAAGAUCUUAUCUAAAAAGGGGGAAAUCACGAAAGGACAGGGAACAACUACAAACUGACAAAGGACCUCGAGUGACCUACCUGAGGACCCACGUUCAUUCCCAACACCCAAAUCAGAUGGCUUACAACUUCCUGUAACUCCAGCCUCACCCAGGGGGAUCUGAUGUUUUCUUCUGGCUUCCUCAAUCCUUUGAAUGCAAAUGUAAAGAAAUCCAGACAGAGGAUUUAUUGCCAAGUAGCAUGAACAAGUAUCAGAGAGUAUGGGUCCCAUUCUUAUGCCAUUGGACCAUGUCACUAUGAGCUUCUCCUACAUCCCAUCUCCCUGAAGGCUGGCUCACUGAGAGAACUAACGAAUGUCAGUGGGCAAUGGUGUUAUGCUGUCUUAUGCUUCUCAGCUACUCAUGUCUCUGCCAUUGUCAUGAAGUCCUCUUCAUGCUUCUGGCUCCCUGCUUGCCUCCAUGAGAGCUAUGGAGCAGGGGAGGAGUCAACCAACAAAGGAGGAAAAGUUGAUGCUGUCCUUCAGGGAUUUGAAGACUCUGGCUAUUGCACACAGACAAAUAAGAAGACUGCAAUGUGUCUCUCGAGUGUCAAGCUUAAUAUUCUUUUGAGUAGGAAGACAAUAUACAAGAUUUCCCAAGAGAACCUGUAAAAUUUGUCAUCUGGAUGCUUUUCCCAAGUUCAGCUCUUGGCCAGAGAAGCACUUAGUCUAUGAACAUGAUAGUGGGGUUCCUGAAAGCUGGUCCUGACAUGACAUGAAGCACCAAGUCAAGGACGUAGUUUUCUUCAACAACCAUGGCACUCCUACUAGAGCCAUUGUGGUCCAGACAGAUGUUCAAGUCCCUCUCCCUGAAGAGUCCAGCAUUCACAUCCCAGUGGCACAAGCUCAAGUCAGUACACCUGCAUCAAUUUCAUUCCUUAUGGCCCAUACUUGUCCCUGCUUUUGCCUGCAACAGAAGAAAUACUUGGAAAUCAUGGUGGGCUAGGAAAUUUAACAACUCCAUCUCAGACUUCCUCACCCCUCUGGGUCCCAGCCAGAUUACCACUGCACCAAGGAGAUGCGACUGGAGCAGGAGGUGGCUUUGAGCCUGCACUGUUUCCAAACUCUGGACAACUCACCACUUAAACCCCCUAUGGAUGUACUUUCUGAGCAAGUUUUCUAAGCAGCUCUAGCAGUCUGCUGGAGACUCUAGGGACAGGGCAGAAUGUCUGGGUGAUGACUACACUCUGAGCUUACAGUCUGCUUUCUGUCCCUGUAGGCAUCAAGAGGUAUCAGAGGCAGCAACAACCUCCUGAUUUUUACCUCUAGAUCCUAACUGCAGCCCUGGCUAGAUCUUUCAUUUGAGCUGGAACGUACUAUAUACUGCUCAGAGUGGC